ACCGGGGAUAGCGCGACGGCGCGAAAAGCGGGAAACCUUACCGCCUGCCCCGGUUUAUUUUUAAGGU
rnacentral:ncRNA from 1 species